rnacentral:rRNA from 1 species
AUUGAACGCUGGCGGCAUGCCUUACACAUGCAAGUCGAACGGCAGCACGGGAGCUUGCUCCUGGUGGCGAGUGGCGAACGGGUGAGUAAUACAUCGGAACGUACCCUGAAGUGGGGGAUAACGUAGCGAAAGUUACGCUAAUACCGCAUAUUCUGUGAGCAGGAAAGAGGGGGAUCGCAAGACCUCUUGCUUUAGGAGCGGCCGAUGUCGGAUUAGCUAGUUGGUGAGGUGAAGGCUCACCAAGGCGACGAUCCGUAGCGGGUCUGAGAGGAUGAUCCGCCACACUGGGACUGAGACACGGCCCAGACUCCUACGGGAGGCAGCAGUGGGGAGUUUUGGACAAUGGGCGCAAGCCUGAUCCAGCCAUGCCGCGUGAGUGAAGAAGGCCUCGGUUGUAAG